rnacentral:rRNA from 1 species
AGUCGAACGAACCUUCGGGUUAGUGGCGGACGGGUGAGUAACGCGUGGGAAUCUGCCCUCAGGAGGGGGAUAACGGCCGGAAACGGCCGCUAAUACCCCAUAUGCCGAGAGGUGAAAUGAAUUUCGCCUGAGGAUGAGCCCGCGUCUGAUUAGCUAGUUGGUGAGGUAAGAGCUCACCAAGGCAUCGAUCAGUAGCUGGUCUGAGAGGAUGAUCAGCCACACUGGGACUGAGACACGGCCCAGACUCCUACGGGAGGCAGCAGUGGGGAAUUUUCCGCAAUGGGCGAAAGCCUGACGGAGCAACGCCGCGUGAGGGAUGAAGGCCUCUGGGCUGUAAACCUCUUUUAUCAAGGAAGAAGAUCUGACGGUACUUGAUGAAUAAG